AACGGCAGCAUGAAUUGAUUUCGGUUAAUUUGAUGGCGAGUGGCGAACGGGUGAGUAACGCGUAGGAAUAUGCCUUAAAGAGGGGGAUAACUCGGGGAAACUCGGGCUAAUACCGCGUAAGCUCUACGGAGUAAAGUAUGGGACCUUCGGGCCAUACGCUUUAAGAAUAGCCUGCGUCCGAUUAGCUAGUUGGUGGGGUAAAGGCCUACCAAGGCGAUGAUCGGUAGCUGGUCUGAGAGGAUGGACAGCCACACUGGGACUGAGACACGGCCCAGACUCCUACGGGAGGCAGCAGUGGGGAAUAUUGGACAAUGGGGGCAACCCCGAUCCAGCGAUGCCGCGUGUGUGAAGAAGGCCUGAGGGUUGUAAAGCACUUUUAGUGGGGAGGAAAGGCAGCGGGUUAAGAGCUAGUUGCUGUGACGUUACCCACCAUAAACAGCACCGGCUAACUCCGUGCCAGCAGCCGCGGUAAUACGGGGGGUGCAAGCGUUAAUCGGAGUUAUUGGGCGUAAAGGGUGCGUAGGUUGUUUAUUAGUUAUCUGGGGAAAUACUUAGGCUCCACCUUAGAAAUGUCGGGUAUUACUGGUAAACU
rnacentral:rRNA from 1 species